rnacentral:rRNA from 1 species
AUUGAACGCUGGCGGCAUGCCUUACACAUGCAAGUCGAACGGUAACAGGUCUUCGGGUGCUGACGAGUGGCGAACGGGUGAGUAAUACAUCGGAACGUGCCCGAUCGUGGGGGAUAACGAAGCGAAAGCUUUGCUAAUACCGCAUACGAUCUACGGAUGAAAGCAGGGGACCGCAAGGCCUUGCGCGAACGGAGCGGCCGAUGGCAGAUUAGGUAGUUGGUGGGAUAAAAGCUUACCAAGCCGACGAUCUGUAGCUGGUCUGAGAGGACGACCAGCCACACUGGGACUGAGACACGGCCCAGACUCCUACGGGAGGCAGCAGUGGGGAAUUUUGGACAAUGGGCGAAAGCCUGAUCCAGCCAUGCCGCGUGCAGGAUGAAGGCCUUCGGGUUGUAAACUGCUUUUGUACGGAACGAAAAGACUCUGGUUAAUACCUGGGGUCCAUGACGGUACCGUAAGAAUAAGCACCGGCUAACUACGUG